CGGCGAGUGAAGCGGGAAUAGCUCAAAUUUAAAAUCGCGCUGGGUUCCCUAGUCGCGAAUUGUAGUUUGAUGAGGCGUGCUUGGUAGAUGCCUAGGUCUAAGUCCCUUGGAAAAGGGCAUCAUAGAGGGUGACAAUCCCGUCUGUGGCCUUGUAAGCAAAUAUCGUGUAAGCCGCCUUCAAAGAGUCGGGUUGUUUGGGAAUGCAGCCCUAAGCUGGUGGUAAAUUCCAUCUAAAGCUAAAUAUUCGUGAGAGACCGAUAGCGAACAAGUACCGUGAGGGAAAGUUGAAAAGCACUCUGGAGAGAGAGUUAAACAGCACGUGAAAUUGUUAACAGGGAAACGUUAGGAAUCAGUACGCGCCUCGCGUAGAAUCAUCCACUCCCCCGAUUUCAUCCGGUAAGAUGGCGAGCCUUAACCAGCCGUCCCUUAUUGUAUGUCUGAGGGGGGUGGUGCACUUCUGCGUGGGCGGGCCAACUUCAGUUAGGACCGGUAUAAACGGCUCCGGGGAAGGUAGGCGAGGGUUUCGGCCUUUGCAACUUAUAGCCCCGGUGUCCUAUACUGAUCUUGACUGAGGAUUCGCGACCCAUGCCUUCAGGCAAGGUCCCUUUCGUACUCUCGUUCCCCGUGGGUAGGGCAGCUUGCUCCCCUGCCUACGGUGGGAUUAGAUGUUGCGGGAUGGGGCUCUAAUGGGUCAAGGAAGUUGGCGAAAUGGUUCUUAACGACCCGUCUUGAAACACGGACCAAGGAGUCUAACAUGUGUGCGAGUAUUUGGGUGCAAAACCCAUAUGCAUAAUGAAAGUGACCACAGGGGGGAAGCUUGGGUCCUCGGGCCCGGGCCGCACCCUCGACCGAUCCGCUUGCCUUCGUGGCGACGGGUUUGAGUUCGAGCAUAUCUGUUAGGACCCGAAAGAUGGUGAACUAUGCCUGAGUAGGAUGAAGCCAGAGGAAACUCUGGUGGAGGUCCGUAGCGAUUCUGACGUGCAAAUCGAUCGUCGAACUUGGGUAUAGGGGCGAAAGACUAAUCGAACCAUCUAGUAGCUGGUUCCCGCCGAAGUUUCCCUCAGGAUAGCAGAAACGCGUGGCAGUAUUAUGAGGUAAAGCGAAUGAUUAGAGGCCUUGGGGGCUCAAUGCCCUUAACCUAUUCUCAAACUUUAAAUAUGUAAGAGGUCCUUGCUACUUAAUUGAGCUUGGGCAUGUCGUAUGUGCGUUUCUAGUGGGCCAUUUUUGGUAAGCAGAACUGGCGAUGUGGGAUGAACCAGACGGGAGGUUAAGGUGCCGGAAUGUACGCUCAUGUAGACACCACAAAAGGUGUUGGUUCAUCUAGACAGCAGGACGGUGGCCAUGGAAGUCGGAAUCCGCUAAGGAGUGUGUAACAACUCACCUGCCGAAUGAACUAGCCCUGAAAAUGGAUGGCGCUCAAGCGUACUACCCAAACCUCCCCGUCAGGGUAAAUGCGUAGCCCUGACGAGUAGGCGGGCGUGGGGAUUGUUAAGAAGC
rnacentral:rRNA from 1 species